UCAUUGUUAUCUCAUGUGUUUCCAUACCUUUGUACCUUAUAUAUGUUUUUUCUAGUUGGAAUUAAAAUAUCUACUUCGGAACCCACUACCAUUACUAAUUCCUAGACUUUCUGCAGCUGCAAAAAGCACACAGAUCUUGCUGGGAAAAAAGCACAGAUAUGAGCCUUCCAAAGUAUUCUCUUCUUCCUUUCUUGUUGCUUCUGGUGGUUGUUUUUGCAUCUGGGAAAUCUUCAGCUGCUGAAGGAAGACCACUCUCCCUCUUGCCACAACAAGGAUAUGCGAAGGUUUUUGGUACACUUGGAAUAGUUUGCGAGUGUUGUGAUGGAGGUGAAUGCACAAGUACCUGGACUGGGUCUUGCAGUAAGCUGACAUGUCUUCCUUGGAAACAGCAGUAACAGCCCUACAGAUUUUUUUUUUCUUUUUCUUUUCUUUUUCUUUGGCUUUCUCUUCUUCUUCUACAUACUUUGUAAAAUUAAUAUACUAGUGGAAUUAGAGGGUUAUUUUUCCCCUUUUAAGCUGGGUCAUGUAAAUCGUUAUUUUACAGCUAAGGGAGUAACCAGAUAAUGAUGCGAUUGACCGAUAAAUGGAAACAUUGUUCUAUGAGUUAACUGUUU